AUAGCGUAUAUUAAAGUUGUUGCAGUUAAAAAGCUCGUAGUUGAACUUCGGGCCUGGCCGGGUGGUCCGCCUCACGGCGCUGUACUGUCUGGCCGGGCCUUACCUCUUGGUGAGCCGGCGUGCCCUUCACUGGGUGCGUCGGGGAACCAGGACUUUUACCUUGAGAAAAUUAGAGUGUUCAAAGCAGGCCUAUGCCUGAAUACAUUAGCAUGGAAUAAUGAAAUAGGACGUGCGGUUCUAUUUUGUUGGUUUCUAGAGUCGCCGUAAUGAUUAAUAGGGACAGUUGGGGGCAUUAGUAUUCAGUUGCUAGAGGUGAAAUUCUUGGAUUUACUGAAGACUAACUAUUG
rnacentral:rRNA from 1 species